rnacentral:rRNA from 1 species
UACGUAGGGUGCGAGCGUUGUCCGGAAUUAUUGGGCGUAAAGGGCUCGUAGGCGGUUUGUCGCGUCGGGAGUGAAAUCAUCUGGCUUAACUGGGUGCUUGCUUUCGAUACGGGCAGACUAGAGGUAUGCAGGGGAGAACGGAAUUCCUGGUGUAGCGGUGAAAUGCGCAGAUAUCAGGAGGAACACUGGUGGCGAAGGCGGUUCUCUGGGCAUGAUCUGACGCUGAGGAGCGAAAGUGUGGGGAGCGAACAGG